UCUUCUGUAGCCACAACCCAUAGCUGGGAAUGUUCAAUAGUCAAUUCGUUGUUUUCAAAAACGUAUUCGCAAUGUCAUUUGGAGUUCUUUGUGCUUUAAAAAAAUUUACUCGCUUUUCCAGACAAUUCACACGCCCAGUUACUACAUUUAAGAUCACUUAUUCCUUGAUGUAACAAUAGUAGCCUCGCAAUUAGGUCAUAAGUGCCUUCACCGGGCGGAAAUUGGUUCAAUCAUGCGUUUCAAUCCGUUUGCUGAUAAUUCAGAUAAGGUAUAUUUUUUGUUAAUAGUUAAGUGGCAAAUCACGCUGUUAAAGAAUAAAGUUGCUAUAUACUUGUACUUGUUUAUGCCGCGGGUGAACUUCUAAAAAGGUUGCAUACUUCAUUGCAAUUGCUACAAAAGUCUACGAGAGUUGAGACAGCAAAUGCCUCAAAGAGCAAGUUGUCUGACAAAAAUUGAUUGCAAAACACAAGGCGAAAUACAGCUAGACAGCAAGACUUUGAAGACGAUUGAUUUUUGUUAUCGGAAUGCCACUCAGAAUGCCCAUUUCAUUUACGCCAAGAUCAAAGUGUGGUAACAGCAGCCUAAACGAAACGAAGGUUACAAAUAUACUGUAAUUUGGUGAACUGAAUUUCAUUGAAACCGUAUACGUAUAGAACAGCCAUUACAGUUUACCGCAGUAUUAAAAUUCAUUGUCAAAU